CAUAAAGUUCAUUCAAAUUACGUGUUGUAUCAAAAAUGUUCCACCUACCCACAACCAUAUGCUAUCAAUCAAUUUACGUGGCAUUGGACUGACGUUCGUCGCGCCUGAGUAUUAGGCAACCAACUUUCACGAUGUGACUUAUUAAGGCCUUAAUUCAGAAGAUCUACACUGCAAUUUAAUCUUCGAUAAUGGACAAACUCUUACGACCAGAAAGAUUUAAACCCGAUCCUAGAGUACUCAAAAUGCCACCAAAGAAUGGAGCCAUUGAAAAGUUCACUUUCGAGAACUUUACUUUAUCGCUUCUGUAGAGAAAACCGAAGACAUUUUCUCUCCUCGUAAGCAGUAACAAGGUGAAUCCGUAAGUCCUUAGUCCAGUCAGUUCCUUUCAAAAGCUGAGCAAGGGAUGUAUGUAACUUUAAAGGUCAACGCUUUCGCUCAAAACGUUCAGAGUACCUAGUGCCAUCCGCAAAAAAUAUUGAUAGGGCUUUGUUAGCAUGGUAGGGCAUGUCUUGAAGAGAAAAGGCACUAGAAUGGAACCUUGUGGGGGGACUCCUUAUUUCAAAUUGGCCGUGCUAGUUAUUUGGCCAUCUUAAAAUUCCGAAAUUAGUCGAAAAAUCGUAGGCAAAUUCGAAAAAGUGUAGAGUGGUGUCCUCUAUUACAAUUAAAAGCAAUCUUGGCUGACAACCGAUUGGUUGGGAAUGGGGGGGUGUGGUAGCACUUGCAGAUGUGUUCCACACUGACUCCCUGUACUGCGCAAACGCAAGCGCGCUAAAAUUUGAAUUUGUGUAAAGCUGUCAAGUGUAACGGGUAAAUAAUAUACCUUCACAUAACCUGCAAACGUAAUAAUUGAAGAUAAUUUUAGCUUACCUGCUUACCUAUUAUAUGUAGUAGGUAUAUGAAAAUGCCAUGUUAUAAAGAUGAAUUUUGUUGUUAUCUACAUUUGGAGUGCAUGGUCAUAGAAUAUGCCAAAGGCGAUACAAUAUUAGGAAACUGCUUCGCAAUAACGUUACAGACCAACAUUGACCUAUGGUAAAGAGAGAGUCCGGUGCUGAACGAAUCACAAAAAACCAGACUACAAGGAUCAUGACUGAUAGCUAAAGUGGAGUAGUGACCGAACGCUUUAAUUCGAGAAGAAG